GGGGAUUUAGCUCAGCGACAUAAGCGCCUGCCUGGCAAGCACGAAGUCCUGAGUUCGAUCCCCAGUACCGCCA
rnacentral:tRNA from 1 species